rnacentral:rRNA from 1 species
CGAGCGAAUCGAUGGGAGCUUGCUCCCUGAGAUUAGCGGCGGACGGGUGAGUAACACGUGGGCAACCUGCCUAUAAGACUGGGAUAACUUCGGGAAACCGGAGCUAAUACCGGAUACGUUCUUUUCUCGCAUGAGAGAAGAUGGAAAGACGGUUUACGCUGUCACUUAUAGAUGGGCCCGCGGCGCAUUAGCUAGUUGGUGAGGUAAUGGCUCACCAAGGCGACGAUGCGUAGCCGACCUGAGAGGGUGAUCGGCCACACUGGGACUGAGACACGGCCCAGACUCCUACGGGAGGCAGCAGUAGGGAAUCUUCCGCAAUGGACGAAAGUCUGACGGAGCAACGCCGCGUGAACGAAGAAGGCCUUCGGGUCGUAAAGUUCUGUUGUUAGGGAAGAACAAGUACCAGAGUAACUGCUGGUACCUUGACGGUACCUAACCAGAAAGCCACGGCUAACUACGUGCCAGCAGCCGCGGUAAUACGUAGGUGGCAAGCGUUGUCCGGAAUUAUUGGGCGUAAAGCGCGCGCAGGUGGUUCCUUAAGUCUGAUGUGAAAGCCCACGGCUCAACCGUGGAGGGUCAUUGGAAACUGGGGAACUUGAGUGCAGAAGAGGAAAGUGGAAUUCCAAGUGUAGCGGUGAAAUGCGUAGAGAUUUGGAGGAACACCAGUGGCGAAGGCGAC